rnacentral:rRNA from 1 species
AAUGAACGCUGGCGGCAGGCUUAACACAUGCAAGUCGAACGAGUGGCGGACGGGUGAGUAAUGCAUGGGCAUCUAGCUUAUGGAGGGGGAUAACUACGGGAAACUGUAGCAAAAACCGCGAACCAUAGGAUGAGCCCAAGUGGGAUUAGGUAGUUGGUGAGGGAAAGGCUCACAAAGCCGACCAUCUCUAGCUGGUAUGAGAGGCUGACCAGACACACUGGGACUGGGACACGGCCCAGACUCCUACGGGAGGCAGCAGUGGGGAAUAUUGCGCAAUGGAGGAAACCUGACGCAGCCAUGCCGAGUGAAUGAAGAUGGCCUUCGGGUUGUAAAGUUCUUUCGGUAGCGAGGCGUUAACUACAGAAGAAGCACCGGCUAACUCCGUGCCAGCCGCCGCGGUAAUAC